CACCCCGGAAGGGGAGUGAAACAGUUCCUGAAACCGUGUGCCUACAAGUAGUUAGAGCCCGUUAAUGGGUGAUAGCGUGCCUUUUGUAGAAUGAACCGGCGAGUUACGAUUUGUUGCAAGGUUAAGCGGAAAAAGCGGAGCCGUAGCGAAAGCGAGUCUGAAUAGGGCGCAUAAGUAACAGGUCGUAGACCCGAAACCAGGUGAUCUACCCAUGUCCAGGAUGAAGGUAAGGUAAUACUUACUGGAGGUCCGAACCCACGCACGUUGAAAAGUGCGGGGAUGAGGUGUGGGUAGCGGAGAAAUUCCAAUCGAACUUGGAGAUAGCUGGUUCUCUCCGAAAUAGCUUUAGGGCUAGCCUCGAGGUAAAGAGUCAUGGAGGUAGAGCACUGUUUGGACUAGGGGCCCUUCUCGGGUUACCGAAUUCAGAUAAACUCCGAAUGCCAUGUACUUAUACUCGGGAGUCAGACUGCGAGUGAUAAGAUCCGUAGUCGAAAGGGAAACAGCCCAGACCACCAGUUAAGGUCCCCAAAUAUAUGUUAAGUGGAAAAGGAUGUGGGGUUGCUUAGACAACCAGGAUGUUGGCUUAGAAGCAGCCACCAUUGAAAGAGUGCGUAAUAGCUCACUGGUCGAGUGACCCCGCGCCGAAAAUGUACCGGGGCUAAACAUAUUACCGAAACUGUGGAUGAACCUCUUUAGAGGUUCGUGGUAGGAGAGCGUUCUAAGGGCGGUGAAGUCAGACCGGAAGGACUGGUGGAGCGCUUAGAAGUGAGAAUGCCGGUAUGAGUAGCGAAAGAAGGGUGAGAAUCCCUUCCACCGAAUAUCUAAGGUUUCCUGAGGAAGGCUCGUCCGCUCAGGGUUAGUCGGGACCUAAGCCGAGGCCGAUAGGCGUAGGCGAUGGACAACAGGUAGAGAUUCCUGUACCAGUGCUAAUUGUUUAACCGAUGGGGUGACACAGAAGGAUAGGGAAUCGCACGAAUGGAAAUGUGCGUCCAAGCAGUGAGUGUGAGAAGUAGGCAAAUCCGCUUCUCGCGAAGCAUGAGCUGUGAUGGGGAAGGAAAUUAAGUACGGAAGUUCCUGAUUUCACGCUGUCAAGAAAAGCCUCUAGGAAGAGUAGUACUGCCCGUACCGCAAACCGACACAGGUAGAUGAGGAGAGAAUCCUAAGGUGAGCGAGAGAACUCUCGUUAAGGAACUCGGCAAAAUGACCCCGUAACUUCGGGAGAAGGGGUGCUCUAUUAGGGUGCAAGCCCGAGAGAGCCGCAGUGAAUAGGCCCAGGCGACUGUUUAGCAAAAACACAGGUCUCUGCAAAACCGUAAGGUGACGUAUAGGGGCUGACGCCUGCCCGGUGCUGGAAGGUUAAGAGGAGUGCUUAGCUUCGGCGAAGGUACGAAUUGAAGCCCCAGUAAACGGCGGCCGUAACUAUAACGGUCCUAAGGUAGCGAAAUUCCUUGUCGGGUAAGUUCCGACCCGCACGAAAGGCGCAACGAUCUGGGCACUGUCUCAACGAGAGACUCGGUGAAAUUAUAGUACCUGUGAAGAUGCAGGUUACCCGCGACAGGACGGAAAGACCCCGUGGAGCUUUACUGCAACCUGAUAUGGAAUGUUUGUACCGCUUGUACAGGAUAGGUAGGAGCCGAAGAGACGUGUGCGCUAGCAUACGAGGAGGCAAUGGUGGGAUACUACCCUGGCUGUAUGACCAUUCUAACCCGCCACGCUUAGCGCGUGGGGAGACAGUGUCAGGUGGGCAGUUUGACUGGGGCGGUCGCCUCCUAAAGAGUAACGGAGGCGCCCAAAGGUUCCCUCAGAAUGGAUGGAAAUCAUUCGCAGAGUGUAAAGGCACAAGGGAGCUUGACUGCGAGACUGACAAGUCGAGCAGGGACGAAAGUCGGGCUUAGUGAUCCGGUGGUUCCGCAUGGAAGGGCCAUCGCUCAACGGAUAAAAGCUACCCCGGGGAUAACAGGCUUAUCUCCCCCAAGAGUCCACAUCGACGGGGAGGUUUGGCACCUCGAUGUCGGCUCGUCGCAUCCUGGGGCUGUAGUCGGUCCCAAGGGUUGGGCUGUUCGCCCAUUAAAGCGGCACGCGAGCUGGGUUCAGAACGUCGUGAGACAGUUCGGUCCCUAUCCGUCGCGGGCGCAGGAAAUUUGAGAGGAGCUGUCCUUAGUACGAGAGGACCGGGAUGGACACACCGCUGGUGUACCAGUUGUUCCGCCAGGAGCAUCGCUGGGUAGCUAUGUGUGGCAGGGAUAAACGCUGAAAGCAUCUAAGCGUGAAGCCCCCCUCAAGAUGAGAUUUCCCAUUUCUUCGGAAAGUAAGAUCCCUGAAAGAUGAUCAGGUAGAUAGGUUUGGAGUGGAAGUGUAGCGAUACAUGGAGCGGACAAAUACUAAUCGAUCGAGGACUUAACCAAAA
rnacentral:rRNA from 1 species